rnacentral:snRNA from 1 species
AUAUUUACCUGGCAGGGGGGAUACCAUGAUCACCAAGGUGGUUUUCCCAGGGCGAGGCUUAUCCAUUGCACUCUGGAUGUGCUGACCCCUGCGAUUUCCCCAAAUGCGGGAAACUCGACUGCAUAAUUGGUGGUAGUGGAAGACUGCGUUCGCACUCUCCCC